rnacentral:rRNA from 1 species
UACGAAGGGGGCUAGCGUUGUUCGGAAUUACUGGGCGUAAAGGGCGCGCAGGCGGCUCAUCAAGUCAGGCGUGAAAGCCCCGGGCUUAACCUGGGAGGUGCGUCUGGGACUGGUGGGCUAGAGUUCGGGAGAGGAGCGUGGAAUUCCCAGUGUAGAGGUGAAAUUCGUAGAUAUUGGGAAGAACACCGGUGGCGAAGGCGGCGCUCUGGACCGAGACUGACGCUGAGGCGCGAAAGCGUGGGGAGCAAACAGG